GAUGAACGCUGGCGGCGUGCCUAAUACAUGCAAGUCGAACGAAACUUCUUUAUCACCGAGUGCUUGCACUCACCGAUAAAGAGUUGAGUGGCGAACGGGUGAGUAACACGUGGGCAACCUGCCCAAAAGAGGGGGAUAACACUUGGAAACAGGUGCUAAUACCGCAUAACCAUAGUUACCGCAUGGUACCUAUGUAAAAGGUGGCUAUACUACCGCUUUUGGAUGGGCCCGCGGCGCAUUAGCUAGUUGGUAGGGUAAAGGCUUACCAAGGCAAUGAUGCGUAGCCGAAUUGAGAGGUUGAUCGGCCACAUUGGGACUGAGACACGGCCCAAACUCCUACGGGAGGCAGCAGUAGGGAAUCUUCCACAAUGGGCGAAAGCCUGAUGGAGCAACGCCGCGUGGGUGAAGAAGGUCUUCGGAUCGUAAAACCCUGUUGUUAGAGAAGAAAGUGCGUGAGAGUAACUGUUCACGUUUCGACGGUAUCUAACCAGAAAGCCACUGCUAACUACGUG
rnacentral:rRNA from 1 species